rnacentral:rRNA from 1 species
UAGGGAAUCUUCGGCAAUGGGGGGAACCCUGACCGAGCAACGCCGCGUGAGUGAAGAAGGUUUUCGGAUCGUAAAGCUCUGUUGUUAAGGAAGAACGAGUGUGAGAAUGGAAAGUUCAUACUGUGACGGUACUUAACCAGAAAGGGACGGCUAACUACGUGCCAGCAGCCGCGGUAAUACGUAGGUGGCAAGCGUUGUCCGGAUUUAUUGGGCGUAAAGCGAGCGCAGGCAGUCAAUUAAGUCUGAUGUGAAAGCCCCCGGCUCAACCGGGGAGGGUCAUUGGAAACUGGUUGACUUGAGUGCAGAAGAGGAGAGUGGAAUUCCAUGUGUAGCGGUGAAAUGCGUAGAUAUAUGGAGGAACACCAGUGGCGAAAGCGGCUCUCUGGUCUGUAACUGACGCUGAGGCUCGAAAGCGUGGGGAGCGAACAGG